CGUCUUAUAUAUAUAUCGGUCUUCCGAACCUUAAUAACAUCUGGCCCAUUAGCUCAGCUGGUUAGAGCGUCGUGCUAAUAACGCGAAGGUCGCAGGUUCGAGACCUGCAUGGGCCAAAAUUAAUUA